rnacentral:snRNA from 1 species
GGAUGUGAGGGCAAUUUGGCAGUGACAUCUGUCACCGCAUUGAUUGCCAGGGUUGAUUCAGCUGAUCUAGCUGGCUAGGAGUGUGUACCCUUCCUCUCUCAACAAUCCAUGUGCAUCCCUCCCAAAGCUGCACACUCGGUUGAAGAGGACAACCACCCCCAGUAGAGGAGGAGUAUUCCUCUGUCAAGGAUAUACAAGUAGUUGUGCUCCCCUGCUAGAACCUCCAAACAUUCACUCUAGAAUUUGCAAUUACUCCUAUCCCUAACAGUACUUUUUAAAAAUGUAUUUAGCACAGGGUUUACAGGGUUUCAU